CUAGAAAUCCAUUGGGAUCUUCCCGCGCAGGUUCGAAUCCUGCCGACAACGUGAUAUUUUUCUCUUGUGGUUCACCAAGCUAUCAUAGAUAGCCAGUAUCUCUUAUUGUAUCACAACACAUAAAUCACUAGCUACACGGUAUCAAUCUUUACCUACUUGAAAUGAGGUUACGCAUGUCAAUCAAGCACUCCUGUUCAUGACAGCAGCAGUACCUGAAGCUAUGGCGGACGAAUUGCUAGAUGAGGUUGAAACAAAGUUCUGUCGAAGUGGAAGCUUAUGCAACGUAAACUAACGGCGGUAGCUAUGUAACGUUAGCUAAUUAGUUGCAAACGCCAGCCUUCCUAAAAUGCAUUGUUAUUUCAUCAAGCAUGUUAGCUAAAUCACCUAAUUAGCUAUGUAACGUUAACUUGCUAAAACUGUUCCUCGCUUCACACCGUCAGCACCACUGACGAUACCCCCAGAAAAACGGACAGCGAAGAUAUAGAUGCCCGUCUUGAGGACAUGCUUGACGAUGACUUCGAUUCCCUUGAGCUAAACACAGGACAGCUUCCUAAAACGGCAAAGACGAAGUCAUUGCCACAGGCAACAAGAAAAUCGUGUGACUUUCGGGGUGGCCAUGUUUGAUGAUCAUGAAUGGGACUCUUGUGAUUACCUAUUCUUCAGGAGCAACAUGCGAGACUGUCAGAAGCUGCUGGCCAAGCUGAGGAGAAGAAAGGGGGCGCGGGUAUACGCCUGCCAGUGUAGCUGGCACUCUGCUCGAGACCUCACCGACCUGAGAGAACAGCACCAGCUCAAGUGGGUCUGUGGGAAGCAUGAUGUGUGACAGCCUUCUUUCUAACACACACACACACACACACACACACACACACACACACACACACACACACACACACACACACACACACACACACACACACACACACACACACACACACACACACACACACACACACACACACA